CCUACGGGUGGCAGCAGUGAGGAAUAUUGGUCAAUGGGCGCGAGCCUGAACCAGCCAAGUAGCGUGAAGGAUGACUGCCCUACGGGUUGUAAACUUCUUUUAUCAAGGAAUAAAGUGAGGCACGCGUGCCUGUUUGUAUGUACUUUAUGAAUAAGCAUCGGCUAACUCCGUGCCAGCAGCCGCGGUAAUACGGAGGAUCCGAGCGUUAUCCGGAUUUAUUGGGUUUAAAGGGAGCGUAGGGGGGUUGGUAAGUCAGUUGUGAAAGUUUGCGGCUCAACCGUAAAACUGCAAUUGAUACUGGCAGUCUCGAGUACAGUCGAGGUAUGCGGAAUUCGCGGUGUAGCGGUGAAAUGCUUAGAUAUCACGAAGAACUCCGAUUGCGAAGGCAGCUUACUAA
rnacentral:rRNA from 1 species